CAGGUUCGGGAUAACCUGGCAACGCUACUUGCUUUGUGUUGGUACUGGGAUACUCAUGGAGUUGGAUCCAAGGUUUUGCUGAGAGGAAAUUAAUAUUAUGCAGACACCAAAAUCAAGGAAUUCAAAUAUCCCAUCCAAGGAUUGGAUGGAUUUAGCAAGGUAUUAGCAAAGAGUAUAUUGUUGGUGUUGAAUCAUUCCUAGAUUUUCCUUACUC